ensembl:lncRNA
GAAGAGCUUUCCAGGCAGAGAGAAGAGCUUCAGACACAGGCCCUAGGCAAAUGAGGGUUCCUGGUGUGUUCCCGCAGCAAGGAGGCCUGCAUGGCUGGGUAGAGCUGGGGAGGGGGAAGAGAGAGAGCUUGGUGGCUUAUGUGGCAGUGAAAGGAGUUACUGAAUUGUUUGAGUCAAAGUAUGUUAGAAACCUCAAUAAUGGAAAUUGUGGAACCAGGAAAUAUUUGGAAGGAAACCGGGUAAAUGGACUGUUGACCGCAUUCAAAACAAGAUAUCUCCCCUUUUGCAUCAUUUUCCUUCCUGGAUUACUUCUUUCUUCAAGAACUGCAUGCAACUGAUAUGGUAAACGAGCCUAGAGCUGUCUCUCUUUUGGGACAAGUCUCCUUCAACUUCAGAAGUCACACAUGGUCAAUGGCUCUUACCUGGACUUCAGUGAACAAACUUGACAUGGAGAGUUUCAAAUGAUAUUCACUGACAAAUUUGGGUCUCAGACAAAUUUGGGACUCAGAAGGAUAUUUUCCUUUGCCAUUGGACUAACUGAAUAUGGAGUAAUCUACAAGAUUCUGCUUCAGAUAUGAGGAUUUGAAGAAAUGCACACAAACAUACACAUAAAACUUGUGAACUAUGGUUCUUAGUGCCUGGAAUGGCAUGAAAAGCCUCCCUUUCCUCUUGAAAAUGGUCUUUGUAACUAGAGAAACGGGCCUGAUUGUUAGUCUAAAGAUAUUUUGUGGCAAUAGCUUGGUGAAAUGUCAAAGCACAGGAAUUUAUUUUUGUGUAGGACUCCUUUGGUUUCUUGGAUUAUACUCUUAACGUUAAAUGCUCACUUGUUACACUCAUCAAUGUCCUACUGGACUCAGCUAAUGCUAAGCUUUCCCUGCUCCUGAAGUCUAGUCUACUUCUGUUUUCAAUAUCAGCAUCCUUCCUCUUUGUUUGCCUACAUUUAGAGAAACAGUUUCAUCACUUACUGGAUAGACCAAGAAAAAUAUGUUCUUGGCCCUUUUUGAAUGGUAUUUUUGCUGAUCUGUGGACAUUUUAAAAUAAUUUAACACAAACACAUGGCUUUUCUGAAUUCAGGAAAUAUUUAGUUGGCUUCUUUCUUGGAGAUCCUAGACCUGGAAGGUACAAUAAGGUCAAGAAGAGGAUAGUGGGCAAUUAUCAGCAUCUUCAUAGCAACACUAAUCAUAACAGUCUCAAACUGGAAGCAACUCAAAGGCCCAGUAGAAUGGAUAAAUAAAUUGUUACAUAUUCAUGCAAUGCAAUACAGUUCAACAACAAUAAUAAAAAAUGCAAUAACAUGGAUAAAACAAACAAACAUAAGAUUGGAUAAAAGUACUCAUAAACUGCAGAAUAUAUAUACGGUAUGACCUCAUUUAUGCAUAGUUCAAAAAAAGCAGGCAAAACUAAUUGAUUCUGUUAGAACUUGAAAUAGUGGUUGCUUUUGGGGUCUUCUGUCUGCAAGAGGGUCCUGGGGCUUCUGGUCUUCUGGAAAUGCUCCGUUUCUAGGUGUUUAUUUCAUGGAUGGAUUGACUUUGCAAAAAUCCUUUGAGUUGAACUUUAUUAUUUAUGAAUUUUAUUUUGUUUGUUAUAUUUCCACAAACAGUUUUACCUUAAAAAAAAAAGGGUGGUAAUGAGGAGCCAAGAGCAUUGUGUCAAGCCUUAAUACCAUCUUUGUUGACAUGUGAAGUAUUCUUAUUUUAACAAAUUUCUUUUUACUUACAUGAAAUAGAUGUCUACUCCAAUAUAGGUGCCAUGUCAUUGACUUGCUUUCUGUUUUUGACAACUUUUUAAGAGAGAAGUUGAACUGGGCCUAAAUAGCAUAAAGGGGAGAAACCAGACAAAUUCUUUAUGAACUCAUCUAUAAUAGAAAUAAAUUAAUAGCAGGAAACUUAUACUAAUCUAGACUAAUGAUGAUACUAGCCUAAUAGCCUGUUUCUCCUAGAUAAUUUAUGAUUUUUAUCUCUUUUCCUCUAGCUAUUGUCUUAUCUGAAUAUAAUUUCACAUUUUCGUUGUUAGUUUGUUAGAAAGAAGAAUCUGCAUAGAUAAAGAAUAUCAACAAAUUCUCUUUACAAAUGACCAGGGAAAACUCACUUAUUCAUAGCUAAUGUCUUAUUGAAUGUGCGUGAAUGGGUUUUAUGCCUGCACUUGCUUUUUUCCCAAGUGCAGUAGUUUGGGGAAUUUUUAUAGUGGACUUUAUUUUUUAGAGCAGUUUUAGAUUUAUAGAAAAGUUGGGAAGCUAGUGAAGAAGGUUCUCGUAUAUCUCACACCCAGUUUUUCCUAUUAUUAACAUUUUGCAAUAGUAUGGUGCAUUUGUUACAAUUAAU